AGCCGCUCAGCCCACCCGACAGACAGCACCAGUGCCCAGUGGCAGCCAGCCCCAUGCAGAUGAAAGAAAAAGGCACAGCCCAGGGCGGAUGCUUCUGAGGUGCAGGUGCCUGUCUGUCAUCGGGCAGGAGCCCGCAGGUGGACAGCAUGGGGCCCGCACACCUGGGGACCGGGCGAGGGGUGUGGAGCGCCGUGGGGCACCCUGCAGCAUCGGGUACAUCUGCGUGUGGACAGCAGGACAUCAAGAGUCGAAAAGGUAAAAUUUACAGUGGAAUUCACAGAUCUUAACAGUUCCGUGAGAUGAGUUCUGAGACGUGCACACACCUGCGUCUCCCAAACCCUCACCGGGAAUAUUGUCAGCCCCUGUGGAGCACAGUAAAGAGAUUUAUCAAAGAACUGAAAACAGAACUCAUCCAGCAAUCCCACUGCCCCAGUAAAGAGAUUUAUCAAAGAACUGAAAACAGAACUCAUCCAGCAAUCCCACUGCCGGGCAGCUACUCGAAGGAAAUGAUUACAUCAAAAAGACACCUGCACGUGCACGUCCAUCACAGCACCAUUCACAACAGCAAAGACACGGAAUCAGCCUAGGGCUCCACCAACAGACGGCUGGAGAAAGAGAAUGUGGUGCAUAUACACGAUGGAGUACUAUUCAGCCAUGAAAAAGUGUAAAAUUGUGCCCUUUGCAGGAACGUGGAUGGAACGGGAGAACAUAGUGCUGAGUCAAACAGUUCAGAAACAGAAGGACAAAGAGCACGUGUCCUCACUUACAGGUGGGAGCUAAAUGAUGUGUGCACGUGGACACAGAGUGGGGAACACUCACCCGUGGAUGCUCAGGAGGGUGGGGCGAGGGAUGAGAAAGUUCCCGGUGCGUUUGAUGUACGCUCUCUGGUGAUGGCUACACUGACAGCCCCGACUUCACCACUACACAGUGUUUCCAUGUAACUGCACUUGUACCCCUUAUAUUUACAAAUAAAAAAUAGGCCAGGCACAGGUGGCUCACGCCUGUAAUCCCAACACUUCAAGAAGCCAAGACAGGAAGAUGAGUUGAGCCUAGGAGUUCAAGACCGGCCUGGGCAACAUAGCGAGACCUCAUGUCUACAAAAAGUACAAGAUUAGCCAUGCGUGGUGGCACGUGCCUGUAGUCCCAGGUACUCGGGAGGCUAAGGUGGGAGGACGGCUUGAGCAUGGGAAGUUGAGGCUGCAGUGAGCUGUGAUCACCCCCCUGCACUGCAGCCUGGGCGACACAGCAAGGCCCUGUCUCAAAAAUUAAUUGAUUUAAUUAAAUAAUAAUAACGAUACAACC
rnacentral:lncRNA from 1 species